UACAGAGGAGCCAAGCGUUGUCCGGAUUGACUGGGCGUAAAGCGCACGCAGGCGGGGUGUGCGCGUGGGGGUGUGAAAUCUGGCCGCUUAACGGCCAGGCGCCAUCCCAUACGGCACGCCUGGAGUGAUGCAGAGGUCGAUGGAAUUGCCGGUGUAGUGGUGAAAAUGCGUAGAUAUCAAGUGGAACACCAGUGGCGAAGGCGAGUCCCUGGACGACUUCUGACACUGAGGCACGAAAGCUAGGGGGAGCAAACAGG
rnacentral:rRNA from 1 species